AGCGUACGUAGGCGGAUCGGAAAGUUGGCGGUGAAAUCCCAGGGCUCAACCCAGGAACUGCCUUGAAAACUACCGGUCUAGAGUUCGAGAGAGGUGAGUGGAAUUCCAAGUGUAGAGGUGAAAUUCGUAGAUAUUUGGAGGAACACCAGUGGCGAAGGCGGCUCACUGGCUCGAUACUGACGCUGAGGUACGAAAGUGUGGGGAGCAAACAGGAUUAGAUACCCUGGUAGUCCACACCGUAAACGAUGAAUGCCAGUCGUCGGGCAGUAUACUGUUCGGUGACACACCUAACGGAUUAAGCAUUCCGCCUGGGGAGUACGGUCGCAAGAUUAAAACUCAAAGGAAUUGACGG
rnacentral:rRNA from 1 species